AGCUGAAGGCCUCCUUUAAGAGAAACCGCUUCUACGGAAUCCGAGUUGGAUCCAGUUGGGUCAGGAUUCGCAAAGUCUAAUAGUAGCAACCUUAAACUAGGGGCCUUGGUGGAAAUUUCGGAUACGGAAGCUGUUUCAUUUCUGGAGGACUGAUGGUGGCCUUCAAAUCUUAGCGCAUAGGUAGUUAAAUAUAGCGAAGAAAACACUAUGAGAAUAGAGUGAGGGAAGAACCGGAGGCGGCAAGUACGGAAGCUCCAUUCGGUGGGAUUUGGAGUUUGGAGACUGGGGGGAGGAACCAGGCUCGAGGGCCAUGCAUUGCUGAAACCGUGGUUAUCUCUUUAACGAACGGGACGGCACACACGCGGCUCUUGUCCCCUCAUCCCCGCAGCUUUUCCAUUCUUAGACGUCAGCGGGCGAUCGCAUCGGGGUGUUCUCUAUUUUCUGGGAUGUAAUUAUUUUAGGUCCCCUGUUGAGGGAUCUAUUUGCACGCCUUACCUGUCCUCCUCUAGGUCUAAGUCCCUUUAGAAGGCUGGAGCCAGGUUCAUAUUUACUUCCCACAAAGUGUAGCCCAGAAAUAAAGUUCUUAAAUGCUUUUUGAAUGAAUGAAUGAAUGAGGAAUCCCUAGUAACGAGAAAAGCUUUCAGUUACCACCCAUACAAAUAGGGUAAACAAACAAACAAUACCCCUUGAGAAUGAAAACUCGAAGACUAGAUUUGGGGAGAGUAAGCAGGGAAACCUAUAUACCAACAUGGCUACGUGCACGGACUCCAGAUCCCUAGUUCCGAAGGGCGUUAAAAAGCAAAUACCUCAUCAGAUAAAUGGGGGUUUAUACCAGUUUCUUUGCCUCAGAUCCUCUAGGGGCCUUUAAUACAUCGUUGCGCGUUGGGACUUACCAGUAAGAGGAGGGAGUUAGGCUACCCUUCCUAGUGUUUCCUGAAUUAUUUUUUCGUGUCAUUAUUUCAGAUCACUUGGUUGGUGUUUGAUGAAUGAGCUUUGCUGCUCGCUGCACUGUGUUCACGUAACUCAUUGGGAACACCCUCCAGGACUGCUGUUCUCAUAUUCGGUGGCCCUUCUUACUCCACAUUCACACUGUCUCCGAGGUACUUGUAACUGGUACAAAGUCAAAAGUCUCAGCCUUGAGGGAAUUCUGACAGCUGGAUAAAAUGCUGAAAGGUGGAAGAAAGUCUUUACCCAUGUAUCAUACUGUGUGUGUAGAACAAAGUACCAUACUACACUCCAGGAUCUUUGGUAUAUGAUCCUUCUUCCUGUUCUUCAAAACAAAGUUAUUCUCCUCAAUUUCACUUCCAAACACUUAAUAAAAGGGAAAAGGACAGCAUCCACGUUUCCCUGCUACAUUGACAUGGUUGCUCUGGGGACCACCCCCACCUUUGCAAGUAUCCCUUGAAGAGUUUAGUGUGUUUGUCUACUCUGUGUGCCUGCGGUGGACAUCAAUACUGCUAUAAACAGAGGAGAGUUCCUGGCUCAGUGAAGCAAA